AGGGAGGAACAGACCCUGACUCCUCUUGAUUCCACUUGCAGUUUACCACAAUUGAACUCUGGCCCAUACUGCCCAGAAGGCCAACUCUACUAAGUCAUUACUCCUGUGGGCUAAAGGGAUGCCCAGAUGCUCAGAAAAGACAAUUCAUGACAUAUGUGCCAUUUGCCAGUAAAAAUCCUUACAAUUGGAAUUUGCAGAAGUCCCCACUUUUAGAAAGACUAUCAGUUCUCACAGGUCUAGAUUCAAUUAUGCUGACUCACCAGCUCACAUGAAAUGAUUGUUGAAAACUAUUCCAGACCCUCUGCAUGACAGAGGAGAGAGAGAGAGAAUCAUGGGAGCUGCUCAGAAAUUGGAUCUGGGAGCAAAUGGACUGCUCACUGGUAUCCAGUCUGACUUCUAUGCAGUUUUUCCUUUGACUCAACCCGAUGGGGAUUUUAACACUGGUGAAGGUAAAGAAAUGCUCCAAGUCUACUGCCAGAUUCUGAUUGGGAUGCCACCAAGAGGCCACAAGAGAGAACACAAAUUUAUCUAAGAAGCCAGAGAGCACCAGUUCACAGUGAAUAUGACUUUUAUUAACUAAGCUGCCCCUGACACCCAUUGAGAGCUUCAGCCACUGAACAGCUUUGCAGCAUGUCUCUGGCACUCAGAAGCCAGCCCCUAUUUGCCUUUGAAUGGCAAGACUUGGAGAAAGGAUUCAAAAGACAACUGACUUAGACAUCAAGGAUUCAAGAACUCAAGAUACUCUAUGAGGACUUGGGUGAGUAUUGAUUGGUCCACCUCCAAAUAAUUUUGUUCCAGUAUGUAUUGUGUUCCCCCAACUUGGGACAUGCCAGAAGGCCACAUGAGACCUACUCUAGGAGCUUAGUCAAUUUGGCUAGAGAGUAUCUGCUAAGAAAGCUGAGUGUUGUCAAUUUGAGGUCAGAGAUUCUGGCUGAAGUCUAAAGAGAUUCUGACACAAGGCCCUCGGUGUUACAUAUCACGUACAUCCCACAGUCACAGCUGUUCUGUUGAUCUGGGGCUUUCUCUUACACAAAGACCAGUUUGUCUCCUUUGCUCCUUAAGAAAGCCUCCAUUUUCUCUGCUACCUGCUUUGAACGGAUUGAGUUGCUCCUGCUAUGGGAAUCCUAAUGGAAGAAGCUAUUUUUAUCUUGGUGAUAAACCAAUAAACUCCAGUGGGUACCUCCAGCUGCCUGGUUAGAAUUAUCAUUGAUGGCUAAAAAUACCACUCUUUUGUGGGGAAGAUCCAGAGGUUCAAAGAACAUGGCAAUUUCUGCAGGAUUGCUGGUGCACUUAAUGAACUGGGUGACUUCAGGGCUGAUGAAGGUACAUAUUGGGGUACAUAUUCAAGGGGGCCUGCCAAGACAUGCUGUCAGAUGCCCCGGAAGCAAACCAUCCUUAGCCUCCCAGUUCCAUCAACCCAAAGGCAAGUAUGGAAAUUUCUGGGGUCUGCUGGGUUUUAUAGACUUUGGGUGCUAGGGUUCACUGAGAUAGCCAAACCAUUAUAUGAGACCACCAUGGGCGAAGAAGAGAAUAGACCCUUGAGAUACACACGGCUUUUAAGACUCUAGGAAAGCCUUAUUGGAGGCAUGGGCCUUUGCCUUCCUGAACAUUCACAAACGUUUCCACCUGUAUGUGAGAGAAAGGGCAAAGAGAAUGGUCACCCAAACUUUGAGACUUUGGAAAAGACCUGCGGCUUAUUUAUCUAAAAAGCUGGACCCAGUGGCCCAAAGAUGGCCAGCCUGCAUCUGAAUCAGAAUUGCCACUAUCCUGCUAAUCAAGAAUGCAGACAACAUAACAAUGGGGCAGGAACUUGUUAUCACCAUCCCCAGUGCUAUUGAGAGGACCCUCAAGAAUCAACCCAUCCAGUGGCUUUCCAAUGCUAAACUGGUACACUUUUGGGUUCUAUUUUUGAAUUUCUCUCACUUAGGAUACAACCCAUUAUCUGCCCCAAUCCCAGUCAUCCUGCUACCAGACAGAGCCUCAGAUGUGCAGCAUGACUGCUCCAUAUUUCUGGCGCACAUUCAGAACACCAUGCCUGAUUUGACUGAAAUAUCCUGGCCAGAUGUGGAACCUAUCUUCUUCAAGGAUGGGAGAAGCUUCAUCUAGAAUGGAAUCAGGUAAGUAGGGGCAGUGGUAGUGGACUUGGGCAACUCUUAUUUGGGCAACUGCUUUGCCACUGGGAACUUUAUCCCAAAAAGCUGAACUAGAGGUUCUAAUCCAGGCUUUAAACUGAACCAUAGAUACAGCAGACAUGCCUUCACUAUGGCCCAUGUACAUGGGCACAUA
rnacentral:lncRNA from 1 species